ACCGAAUCCCUUUCACGCCUCUGGACGAGUCUUCGAUGAACCAAACGUGCGUGUUUUUGCAAUGUGGGAGGAAGCCGGGACACCCGGAGAAACCAAGACCCAUACUUCGCAUGUCUGCCCCUUGCACUGAAUGGCGAUGGUGCGCCGACGUAUUGUACCACAGCCACAUCUUGCAGGCUUCUCUCGCUCUCUCACCGCAUACUUCGACAGAGUGCGCUUGAUUGACGAGCUGAAGGAUGCUGGGAGCCUUCCUGUUGCAAGCAGACUAAUAUCCUUACAGGAGCUGGACAUUUUGAAUCCACCUUUUCACAUAACAGUAACCUCGAUGCAUAACGUGUCUCGUUGUUUACCUUUGAAAAGCGCGACAAGAAAGCGUUCGCCCGUAUAUUCAUCCUCUCCGUUUAUGUCCUGUGCAAGUGGCCCAAACACACCGUUUUACCAGAAUUACCUGUUUAAAGAGGUCAAAUGUAUCUUUAAAUUCUUUCCUGCGCUGUGUCGUGAUUGGCCAGUUUGUUUCAAACAAGAAUGCGGUGUACACUUCCUUACUUCCUGAUAACUGGGUCGAAUUUAAACAUUGAAUACCGCAUUCCCAUUAAAGUCAGCAAAGGUCCGAUUACGAGAUGUCACUAAAAGAUGAUCUAUCCCGAGUGAUUUUCCUGAAAGGUGAUUUGUUUUUUUCCUCUGCUCCGCCCCUUGCCUCCCAUUUGUACAAAGCUAACCGCAUAUAUUAUUUUACAUUACAACGCUCUGUUGUUGUAAUGCGGAACUCCCACCUGGGGGGGGGCGAUAGAGGCUUUGCACUAACUUUAUAAAAAAACAGUUGAGAUGUUAAAAAGCAGUACGUGUGACUGUGUACCCUGCGCAAACGGAUUUUUUAUUUCUUGCUGUGUUUCCAAAUCCAUAAAUGAACCUAGAUGAAUACAGGCUUUGGAUAAAGCUAUGCGGCCGCCCACAUCGUCGCGCAAAGCCGACAAAAAUCCACAAGCACACCUUUACUAUCACAGACAUCUGCUUUGGGUGCAGAAAUGUUCUUUUUUUUAAAAAAUAUAAGCCAGAUCACAGAGGCAACAUAUGCUUGUUCUUUAUGUGCCAAAAUAUUUCUGAUCGGACAUAUUUUGUGCAAGAGCAUUUUACUGGAUUAAUGCUAAUUAAUAAAGUUAGUCUAAAAGAAUAAAUAUGAUAUUUCUGUAGGUGUAGGUAGUAAAAAUACACCAAUUUUAAGUCAUCUGUGUGUUUUUUUUUACGGUAGCAAAAGAAAGUCAACAACGUUUACUUGUUUUAAGAAAUAUCGCAAAGUGAAAUUCUCCUGUUCUAUUGGCAGAUGCUUUUUGCUUAGUUUAAUAUAUUCCUCAUUCAAUUCUUAAUUAAUUAUCGUUAUUUUGUAUUUAAAACAGUGCAGACGUGGUUACGUGUGUGGUGUCUUGUGUUGGUCAUCCGGAGUACACCAAAUAGCAACAUGAGAGCAGUACGAACACACGUGCAGAGCUUUUCCUUCAUAUAUAUACACAUUUUAAAGAAAAGCAACAAAAAAAAGUGAUUUUUAAAAAUGGCUACGUGUGUGUGCCGCUUCAGCGAAAGGUCAAUUGCUUAUCAAAUACUUCAUGCUUGCCAUAGUGUGAUGAAUGACCGUUUGCAGUCUAAAGGUGUGAGUGAGCGAGUGAGGCCUUGAAUUCUGUAGUCUGGAUUGUGACAGCAGGCAGAGGAAAAAAUUAGCCCGGCUGAAAAGUUUAAAAAAAAAAAAAAAAGGCAGUCAAUAACAGGAACUCAAUCAAACUAGGCCGGUUUCCGGUAAGCUGUGCACUCGGAGCCCGGCUGGCUCGCUGAAAGACUGCUUGGCUUCGGGUCAGCCUUCGCACUCGGCUCCCUCAGACCGCCACGCUCAUUUGUACCUCGUCUGGAUGAGGUUUCACUUUAUAUUCGGCCGGGCAAAAGAAAUGCGCCCGACGCCCUGCUGCCAUGUGCCAAAGAAAGUAUAAGCCUCCAGUCAGGUUAACACCACACAAAGCUUGCUUUUUGAUCCGGCGAUUAAAAAUAGAUUGGGUUGAAGUGAAUGAAAACCUCAAGCGUUGGUGAAGUUAAACACAGCGUAGUGAAACUGCUUAAUUAUCGGGAUUAAAGCGGAGGCCAAUAUCAACAUGUUUUAAAGGACAUCCAAACAAACAAAUGAACACUUUUAAAACCACUUUUGCGCCACUGUCAGUUUACACAGGACGAUGAAACUAGCUAGGGAAAAUACUAGUGUUAGCAAUAACAUGAAUUAUGGUUUUGCUUUCAGAGAGUGAAGGAAGCGAGCGACUUAACACCGUUGUGGAAUUUGGUGUCCAAAUGUUUUGCUCCUUGGUUUACGACGAUCCCAGCGUAAGAGGUUUCCAGGUUGUGAACGAGUUUGCGUGCCGGCGCUACAGUACCGAGCUGGCCUGUCGGAGAAGCCGCGAGUUGAUCGGAAGACGAUCCAGGACGACAAACCCCUGAUGACUGCUUCUCGGUGUAUGAAAAAUACACAUGAAGUACACUACUUUGAAUUUGGAAAAACCACGUUCUGAGUUCAACUCCCUGCGUGGAGUUACCAUGUUCUCCCCGCAUUCCAAGACUACAUUGUUCAUAGGUGUGAAUGCUUGUUGGUCUACACGUGCCCUGGAAUCGACCACGGCCUCGCCAAAGUCCGGCUCACCCGAGACCCAAAGGAGGACGUUCACUCUAGAAAAUGGAUGGAUGGACUUUCGAUCAUACUAGCUGCAAAGUCAAACUGGAACUCAACCCCAUCCGCCCGGAAGACGGCCCAGUCCUCCUCCUCCUCCUCCUCCUCCUCCUGCUCCUGCUCCUGCUCCUGCUCCGGCUCGUCCUCCUUAUUCUGCUCCUUAUUCUCCUCCUGCUCCUGGUGC